rnacentral:rRNA from 1 species
CAGCUCGUCAUGCUAGAGCACUUUUUCAAUGGGCUCCCCAAAGACAAGGCGACGGCGCAUUCGUAUGUCAUCCAUAUCAACUUUCGAUGCCAUUUACUGCGCCUACCAUGGUGACCACGGGUAACGGGAAAUCAGGGUUCGAUUCCAGAGAGGGAGCCUGAGAAACUGCUACCACAUGCAAGGAAGGCAGCGGGCGUGCAAAUGACUCACUCCCGACGCAGGAAGGUAGUGA